CCUACGGGAGGCAGCAGUGAGGAAUAUUGGUCAAUGGGCGCAAGCCUGAACCAGCCAUGCCGCGUGCAGGAUGACGGUCCUAUGGAUUGUAAACUGCUUUUGUACAGGAAGAAACACUCCCUCGUGAGGGAGCUUGACGGUACUGUAAGAAUAAGGAUCGGCUAACUCCGUGCCAGCAGCCGCGGUAAUACGGAGGAUCCAAGCGUUAUCCGGAAUCAUUGGGUUUAAAGGGUCCGUAGGCGGUUUUAUAAGUCAGUGGUGAAAUCUGGUCGCUCAACGAUCAAACGGCCAUUGAUACUGUAAGACUUGAAUUACUUGGAAGUAACUAGAAUAUGUAGUGUAGCGGUGAAAUGCUUAGAGAUUACAUGGAAUACCAAUUGCGGAGGCAGGUUACUACAAGUAUAUUGACGCUGAUGGACGAAAGCGUGGGGAGCGAACAGGAUUAGAUACCCUGGUAGUCCACGCCGUAAACGAUGGAUACUAGCUGUUUGGAGCAAUCUGAGUGGCUAAGCGAAAGUGAUAAGUAUCCCACCUGGGGAGUACGCUCGCAGAGUGAAACGUCAAAUGAAAUUGACGG
rnacentral:rRNA from 1 species